rnacentral:lncRNA from 1 species
UUCUGAGUCUAUGAGCUAAGUUGAACUUCUGUGUUUACAACUCGGACUUUUUCUAUGCUAGACUCUUCUACUUAUUGGUAUGACAGUUCUUCAUGCUUGGGUGUGGCUGUAUGUUCUAUGUGUGUAAUGAAUUCUUUCUUUCAAAAAGGUUUUCCAACUUAGGAUUGAUUCAGAAUCCUUUUCUGUAGGUUUAAUUGAUUGUUACUCAUUUUUCUUUAAGUAAAACCCUUCUCCACCUUUUCUGACUGGAUUCAUCCAUACCAAAUUCAAACCUUGGGAUUUUUUGGCUGUUCCAUCGAUUUCCUUUCCUUAUUUGCACAAACCGAGUGUUGUCAAGACUUUUCCUUAAAUAUACCUCUAUGUGUUUACCCCUUUUGUACUGCUUUGAAAAGAUGUUUGACUGGUCUCUUUCCUUAAUUACUUUUAUCCAUUUGAAAUAAGAAUCUCUUAAUUAAAGGGAGACCUUGUGAAAUUGAUUUUAAAACUAUUCUCCUACCUAUUUCUGCUUGAUUUCUGCACUAUAAAUACAUGGCCUUCUUUAACAAAUUAUACACAGUUAAUACGACCAACUUUCACUCAUACUUUAUCCAUUCAACACUUUUACGCUACUCAAGUAUCAUAAUUCUCUGAACAUAGCAUUCUGACUAUUUGUUUGCACUUUUGCUUCAUAAGACUAUUGCUUUCUUCUUUUGUUUCCCUGAAACUGGUAUGUUCUACUUUAGUUUUCAGCCUCAUCCCAAUGUGUUUAUUUUAUAGCUUCCACGAUCCUAUUUACUUUGUUAUCUAUGCUUAGUGUUAAAUGUGUAUGUUGUUCUCUUUGCACUUGUUUCUGCUGUGAAUCCUUGUACCCCUAUUCCCCUAUAUGUUUUGAGUUAAAGUUCAAAACAUGGAAACAUCCAAAUUGAUUCUUAGGUCUGAACUUGAUCCUUUAAGGGGUACUAACUCCUAAAAAAAUAUGGCUAACAGGUUGGUUGGGGUGUGCCAACACCUCCAAUUGCUGGGUGUGACCACCAGCCUGUCUUGGCUUUCCCCAUAAUCCCCUCUCUUGCACUCACACUCUCUCCUAGCUUCUAAGUUCUGCCCCCCUCUUAUGAGCCUUGUUUUGGGACCUUGAGUUCCAUCUGAACUUGGACAUUUCAGGUUUGGCCCUUCCACACUACACUGUAAUUCAAUUCUGUAACGACUUUGGGUGUAUGCUCGGAGUCCAUGCGAUCUUGGGAAAUUUGACACACCCAAAAAUGAGAAAGGCUUUGAAAAUGUGAUCUUUGGAUUGAUUUGCUUCAUGCUUUAGACAGAAGACUCAAUAAGACUCUCC